ACAGUGCACCCAGCUGGGCGCUUCGGCAGUUUGCAGCUGCGGCGGGGUCGGGUCCACCCGCGGUCCCCGGAAUGCCGGACGGCUGAUCCCGGGUGCUGGUCACUCGCCGAUUCGGGGCUGGGAAGGUUUGCCAGAAGCGGGAAAGAUGGGAGAUCUGAGCGCUCUCUUGGCAUCGCCACACCCAGGACUUGCUCGUGCCGCAAUUCCCCACGGAAACAACCGAGUUGAAACGAGAAGCUUGCUCUCUGGGUGCAGUAGCUAGAAGGCUUCAGGUAACUCCAAAGCCAACACUGGGUGAGGCAACACACGCCGCCUCAGGACUCAGCAUUUCUUUCAGGCUGCGUUUUCGUGGCAGACCUACCCAGAUUGAUGGAGAAAGUUUGGCUGGCGGAUAAGAAGUAACGCGGAAGAUGUGUACGUGAGAGCGAUUUCACUUCACUCACUUUCUCAUUUAAAGAUUAUUGUGGCUGUCACUCAGGUUUUCUGCUCAUUGGUAGACAAAGGGUGAGGAGGUGACUGAAAUUGGAACAGUGGAAGGACCCUUCACCAAAACCUGGAACUUCAGAAGAAUGGCAGGGCUGAAAAUGAUUAGUGUUAAUUCAUUCCAGUUGUGUUACCCUACCCAUAAGCCUCAGAAGUCAUGCGACUUCAUUUCCACCACUGUCAUGAAUCUACCCGGACUCAAGGGGAGGAUGCAGAGAUGCCACCUUUCAAUAAGAGGAUUAUCUAAGUUGCACUGAAGAAGAGCAUGUGGGAUGGAAGAUACUAUUGCAGUAUUUUUGGAAACUAAAGCCUACCA
rnacentral:lncRNA from 1 species